AACUUUCUAAAGAGGAUUAAACCAGUGGCAUCUGUUAAUAUUUAGAACAAGUAAUUUCAUCAUUUUUGGAAUUCUAUUUCAUUAUCUCUGUUAAACACAAUCACAAAUCAUGAUAUCUAAGAGUAGGAAUUUUCUUCUUUAUUUUGGUUGAUUUUACACAUUUUUUUAUAAUGUGUAAGUACCUGAUUUUUGUUUUUUUGUUUAUUUUUCUUUUUAAAGCCACACCUAUGGCAUAUGGAAAUUUCCAGGCUAGGGACUGAAUAAGAGCUGCAGCUGCCAGCCUACACCAUAGCCACAGCAAUGUGAGAUCUGACCUGUGUCUGCAACCUACACCACAGCUCAUGGCAACACUGGAUCCUUAACCCCCUGAGCCAGGCCAGGGAUCAAACCUGCAUCGUCAUGGAUAGUAGUCCCAUUCAUUAACGCUGAGCCACAGUGUUAACUCCAGUACCUGAUUUUUGGAAACUGAACUUCUGUUUUUAAUCCACAAGAGGGUUUCACAUCUCUUAGUGUAAAAUAAUUUGUAGAAAUCUGUUUUGAGGAUCAGAGAAAAACUCUUCUUAAAUAUGCUUACAUGAACUAAAUAGCACUGAUUUUAUUCUGAGUGAUACUUAUAAAAGCCUUUGCAUAAUGCCACUCUUUUCUAUUUAUAUAGACUUCUAAAAAAUGAGCAUGCUUGUCUUCUAGCCACUAACAACAGAUGUGCUUAGCAUAAAACAUCAGAAGUAGAUUUUGCAGACUGUAGCUAAGAUCUAGUAAAAUUGGAACAAAAAUUUGCCUUCAAGCGAGACGUCUGCUAUUUUCUUCUGCAAACCUGUUUCAUAUUUUCCUUAGAAGUGAGGAGGAAACGAUGAGCACUCAUUCAUGCUUCUGUAGUAGCACUACCUCUGCUUACCUACUUUAAAAAAGGUUCAAAUUAGUCCUUAUCUUAGAGAACUUAAAAAGUUUCGUAUUUGAAAGAGUAGAGGUAAUCCCUUAGGCCACUUUUAUCUGAGGAAGUCACUUUUAAAAUUCAAUUGCUUUUAUCACAGAGAGUUUUCAGCCAUUAAGCAUUACUUUUAAUUUUUUUUUUCCUAAAAAUUGCUCUGAAUUUCAGGAGCAAUAAGGUAAACUCAAAAUCAUGUGAGAUUGUGUCUACUAAUUUAUGACAAAGAAAUUUACUGCUUCUUUUAAUAUUUAUAAGUACUUUUCUAAAAUAUUAUGUUGCAUAGUACAUUAAUUUUCCUUUAAUAGCAAUUUUAAAAGGUUUUCAAGUUCCUAAGAGCAAUCUUUGAAUAUACCCCAAUGUUCUGGCAUAUUAUAUUUGUGUUAAUAACUUGGGGAAUUUCUAUAGCACUUUGCUAUUUCUGAAGCAUAAAUUUAUUCUUUUACAUGUAAACUAUAUUUUUGAUUUCUUGAAGCUUGGUAAAAUGUUUUGCGUGUGAAACUUUAAAUUCAAUUUUUAAACUAGUUUUUAAAAUUUUUUUAAGACAAGAUAUUUUCCAUUAACUUUUUAAGUUAACUUUAUUCAACCAUGAUAUGAAACUAUAAGCUUUUCAUUAAAUUUAUUAAUCAUCAGGAAUAUUUUACAAGCAAAUAAAAAUAAUUAUUCUUAUAGAGUUACAAGUCUUUAUUUCAGGAAAAUAUCUUGAAAUUUUACUUACUUAUCCAGAUUCAUCAUACUAUACAUUUCUAGAAAUACUAUGCAGCUGUGAAAGAAACUGACCAUAUCAGUAUUUACCCUACUUUUUGUGGAACUGAUUAGUUUUGUAAUACAACUUGUGUGAUGACAAACCAAGUGUGUUCCAUAUUAAUGCACAAAUAAAAUUGAUUCUUUGAUUUGCUACUGCAGAAUAUAUUUUCAAAACUAAACACUAUUUGAAAAAUUGUUUCUGACUUGUGGUUGGCCAAAAGUCUUGACUGCAGAACAUACCCAUUCCUAAAUGUAGGGCACCAGGCACUGCAGUUUUUUCCUCAAAACUUAACAGUUGUAGUAGUUUAAAGCCAAUUUGUUAUUUGUUUUGCUCAAGUAGUUCUUCUUCUCUUCCAUGUAUAGAUUGACACUUCAUAACUUUUAAGAAUUUUGCUCACUCUUUCAUUGGAUGAGCACACCACUGAAAUCUGCCAUGUCCGGCACUGCAGGAAAAUGGGGAAUCCUGGAAGAGGGACGGUGUGGUAUAGCAGAACACAUGAGAUGCUUACAUUUAGAAAGUGGGGGACCAGGAGCCACUCUGUUCCGCAGAACAAAGGCACCUAGGCUUUAGCCAUAUGACUUUUAUUAAGGCAGGUGAUGAGAUUAUUAUUAGUGGGAUUAAAGAAGAUGAAAAGAUUAGUGGGCAGGAACACAGGCAUAGGCAAUAAUGAGGUUAUCUUCUUAGUGAUAUCAAAGGGGGUAUCCUUAGGACAUAGUGCAGCUGUUUAUAGUAUAACAUGGUUAACGCAUAAGUUCUUUAUCUUGUCUUGGUACUUUGGAACUCUGCAUCCAUAGAUAUUUGCCUUCUGCAGAGUUCAGCUGUUUUGUGGUCUCUAACAGAAAUCAUAUUAGGGACUGAAAUUCUAGAGACUGCAAAAUUUUUGGUGAUCUAGAACUGGCUUUUUAAUGUAAAAUUCUUAUAAACUAUAAAGGGAAAGUAGUAAGGAUUGCUAAGGAAACUGACAUUAAAAGCAUAGAAUAUAUCUGGGUUAUGUUUAAAUUUCAAGAUUUCUUCUAUAAAAGAAGAUUGAAUGUGAUAAUUUUAAUAUUGUUCCUAGUACUUGGUCUGUGUAUCAUGAAACACUUUGAGAGUCUUCUAGAUGUGAUUUUCAUCAUUUAGCUUUUCCUGUACUUUUUUAAAAAUAAUAUUUAGUGGUAAGCAGUUGUUUGCAUGCCGUGGCUUUCCUGGAAUGUGCUGAAAUGUGUCAUUCAGCAUGUCCAAGCUUACUAUCCAAAGCACUGAAAGAAUUCUACAAGGCCUCCAGAAGACUCACACAUGGUGGGAUUUUAAUUCUAAUUAUUUAGCUUAUGCACUUAAUAAGACAAAUUGGACUUGUUUUCAAGAUGACAGGAAGCAUAUGAUAAUAGCACUGUAGAUUAACUGUCAUUUUAUGCUCAUUUUGGAAUGGAACAAAUUUAAAGAUAUAGAAUUUGGCUUGGCUGGACUAGCUCUGCAAAGGAUGUUGUGUAGUUGAUAUAACUAUGGUGGCCAUGAGCGUUCUCCUAUUGGCAUCUCAGAUCUUUAGCUGCAGGGAAUCUUAAGUGUCUGAUGGCCUAGAAUGUAUACUUUGAAAUUCAUAUUGCUACUUGUACCAAUGGGCUUUUCUCGGGCUAUUCCUUGCCAGUGACUGAGCAUGGCAGAGAUACCAAGGCAGGAACAUUCCUGGAAGAUGCAGGGUCCUCUGAUGAGUCUUCGUAAGGAUUCACAAGCUGCCUUGCCUAACUUUUCUUAGAAUUGAUUGCAUGGCAGUCUGAGCCUCCAUACUCACUCUCUCACUCACACACUCACUACCUAUAACUUUCCUUUCUUUCUUUCUGCUUUCUUUUUCUAAGAGCCAGACUUGUAUCAUUGUCUAAUAGCUGUAAAUCUCCCCUAGAUUCUUUCUGAUUUUCUUUCAUAGGCUUUUACCUUCUGAGAUUUAUUUUUCCUUUAAUCCUGUUUUGGCGUUUGCUUCUUAGAGGACCAGAACCAACAUAAUAACCAAUUCUUAUAUUGUGAGGUCUUAAAGAAUUCUAUCAAUAUGUAGACCCAUUAUUUUGUUACUAUAAUGACGCCCAAGCGUGCUACAAAAUAUCCAAGGAAGUCUGAAAUCAUUUCAUAAGUAGAUUCAAACAAUUUUGGGGAAUAGACAGGGUACAUAUUAUAAAUUUAAAAAAAUGUGUUCUAAACAUCCAUACCCAAAGAUAUAGAAAUAAAAUACAGUGCUUACCUCCAUAUCACAUAUAUUAACAAUAGGACUAAAUGAGUUAAUGUUUUAAAAAAUCUUUGCAAAGUGACUGGAAUUAGCAUAUAAUCCAUAAGUGUUAAAUAUUAACUAACUUUAUAUUAAAAUUUUUAUGUGCAAUCAUAUUUCUGGUUUCAGGAUUGUUUUGGUAUCUGUACAUAUUUUAAUUUCAAGAUAGAAAUCUAGAUUAUCACUAGAUGAUAAAUUCCUCAUUAGUUUUGAUCCCCUUGAGGACAGAGACUGUGCUUAAUUUAAUUUGUAUUUCAAGUACCAGUGAAAGCCAAAUUCAGAGUAAGUGUAUAAUGACCAUUCUCACAGUUUCCUACUUAACUUGUUGUCCCUGGGCCAACAUUACUGGCAUCACCUAGGAGCUUGUUAGAAAGGUCCCCCAUAGACUUUAAUGAUUCCAAAUUUGCACUUUAUCAAGAGCUCCAGGUGGUUUUUGUCCCCAUUAAACUGUGUGAUGCAGUGAUCCAGAAGACUUGCCUACUAAAUGUUUGUCCUUUCUACAUCUUCCUUCCUGAAAUAACCCUAGUUGUAACAGGUAGUCUCCUUUGCCCCAUAGCUACUUAAUUCAGGAAAAGAUUGUAGCAUUUUCAGUAAAAAGGGAGAAGCCACAAUUAUCUAAGUUGGGGGGGGGUUGAUUCUCUUAGCAAAUGAUCUGUUUAACCAUAGCAAAGGCCAAUGAAAGAGGAGAAAAAAAAAAAAUCUCUGAAGUGAGCAUUUCUGAGCAAUGAGUUAAUUAUUUUAAAAGAGAAAAUCUUCUUUCUUAUUUCUGGAUGUUACUGUGCCUUUAUGGGACUCUUAGCACUGAGUUGGCUUCUCUUCUUCUUACUUUAUAAUGAAGCCAAAAGAAGGAAAGUGGAACCAUGAGACAAAGAGAGAGGUGGAACCAGACAGAGCACUGAUCUCUUUUUAGAAAUGGUUUUCAUCUUUGGAAAUCAAAGCAUUAUUGACAUCUUUUCAGUUCAAUUACUCUGCUAAAUAUUCUUUGAAUUUUUGAUAAGGGUCAUCAAACCCUCCUUCUUGAAACCUGUGUCUGUCUUUGGUGGCCUAUGAGACUCCAGCCUCUCUUUAUUGGCUCUGAUUCAUCUGGAUACUUCUUAAAUUGAACAUUUAUUUACUGACUUUUCUUUGAAUUUAGGGUAUUACUUGUAGGCAGCUUGUAUUCCCAUACUAGACAUGCAUUUUGAUCCAUUCCUUCCCUACUGCCAUGAUUUUAACCGCCAUACAUAUUCAGGAGACUUCAAAAAUCUAUAUUUUUUUAGUUGUAGAUUUACUUUUGAGUUUCACAGUAAGUAACAGUUAUCUUAGUGCUUCCAUUAUGGACCAAACACUGAACUAAGUGCUUUAAAUCAUUAAAUUCCCACAGUGAUCCCUUGAGGUAGAUAUAAUUUUUAUUACCAUUUUAUAGAUGAUGAAUUUGAGGUACAGAAGUGUGAUGGUUAAUUUUAUAUGUUAACUUGAUUGAACCACAAGAUGCCCAGAUUAAACACUUUUCUGGAUGUGUCUGUGAAUAUGUCUCUGGGUGAGAUUAGCAUGUGAAUCUGUGGACUCAGUAUAAGCAGGCUGUCCUCCCCAGUGUGGGCGGGCAAUGAACAGACUGCCCUUUCCAGUGUCAAUGGGCAAUAUCCAAUCCACUGGGGCCUGAAUAGAACAAAAAGGGAGGAAGAGUAGAUUCAAAACUUUCCUGCCUGCUUGAGUUGGGACAAUGGUCUUUCUUGCCCUUGGUUUAAAGAUUUAUGCCAUUGGCUCUUCCAGUUCUCAGGGUUUUGGACUCAGACUGAAUUACAUCACUGGCUUUGACAGGAGCUGCCGACAGCAGAUUAUGACACUUCUCAGCCUCUAUAACUGUGAGAGCCAAUUCCUCACAAUAACUAUCCUAUGAAGCUAGGUUUACUUCUUGCUAGCUCUGUGCUUUAGACAACCCUCUUAUUGAUUCUGCUUCUCUGGAUAACUUAACUAACAUAGAGCUCGUAAAAAGCUGAACCAGAGUCUCUGUUUAAUUGCUAUGCUAUUUUCCUUUUCCAGUUGCCGUUUUUUUUUGUUUUGUUUUGUUUUUGUUUUUGUUUUUUCUGGCUGCACCCACAGCAUAUGGAAGUUCCUAUAUGGGAAAGAUAUACCAUGCUUUUGGGUUGGAAGAAUCAGUAUUGUCAAAAUGACUACUAUCCAAGGCAAUCUACAGAUUCCAUGCAAUCCCUAUCAAAUUAUCAAUCACAUUUUUCACAGAACUAGAACAAAACAUUUUAAAAUGUGUAUAGAAACACCAAGUAUUGGGGAAGUAACAAUUAAAAGAAAAGAAACACAAAGACCUCAAAUAGCCAAGGCAAUCUUGAAAAAGAAAAUUUGAACUGGAGGUAUAAGGCUUUCUGACUUCAGACUUCACUAUGAAGCUAUAGUCAUCAAACAGUGUGGUACUGUCACAAAAACAGAAAUUAUAGAUUGGUGGAACAAGCCCAGAAAUAAACCCAAGCACCUAUGAUCAACUAAUCUACGACAAAGGAGGCAAGAAUAUACAACCAAUAUAGUAAAGACCAUGUCUUCAAUAAGUGGUGCUGGGAAAAUUGGACAGUUAUAUGUGAAAUAAUGAAAUUAGAACAUUCUCUAAUACCAUACACAAAAAUAAACUCAAAAUGGAUUAAAGACCUAAACAUAAGGCCAGGUACUAUAAAUCUCCUAGAGGAAGACAUAAGUAGAACACUCUUUGACAAAUAUUGUAGCUAUAUCUUGUUUGAUCAACCUCUAGAGUAAAGAGAAUAAAAACAAAAAUAAAUCAAUGGGACCUGAUUAAACUUAAAAGCUUUUGCACUGUAAGAGAAACCAUAAAAAACAAAACAAAAACAAAAAAACAAAAAGACAACCUACAGAAUGGGAGAGAAUAUUUGUAAACAGUGUGACUGACAAAGGGUUAACUUCCAAUACAUAUGAACAGCUCAUACAACUUAGUAUCAAAAGAACAGACAACCCAAUCAAAAAAUGAGCAUAAGAUCUAAAGAGACAUUUCUCCAAAGAAGACAGCCAGAU
rnacentral:lncRNA from 1 species